rnacentral:misc_RNA from 1 species
GAUGAAGAACGCAGCGAAAUGCGAUAAGUAAUGUGAAUUGCAGAAUUCAGUGAAUCAUCGAAUCUUUGAACGCACAUUGCGCCCUCUGGUAUUCCGGGGGGCAUGCCUGUUCGAGCGUCAUUAUAACCACUCAAGCUCUCGCUUGGUAUUGGGGUUCGCGGUUUCGCGGCCCCUAAAAUCAGUGGCGGUGCCUGUCGGCUCUACGCGUAGUAAUACUUCUCGCGAUUGAGUUCGAUGGGUCUACUUGCCAGUAACCCCCAAUUUUUACAGGUUGACCUCGGAUCAGGUAGGGAUACCCGCUGAACUUAAGCAUAUCAUAAGCGGAGGA